AGUGAACGCUGGCGGUAGGCCUAACACAUGCAAGUCGAACGGCAGCACAGUAAGAGCUUGCUCUUACGGGUGGCGAGUGGCGGACGGGUGAGGGAUACAUCGGCAUCUACUUUUUCGUGGGGGAUAACGUAGGGAAACUUACGCUAAUACCGCAUACGACCUACGGGUGAAAGCAUGGGAUCUUCGGACCUUGCGCGAUUGAAUGAGCCGAUGUCGGAUUAGCUAGUUGGCGGGGUAAAGGCCCACCAAGGCGACGAUCCGUAGCUGGUCUGAGAGGAUGACCAGCCACACUGGAACUGAGACACGGUCCAGACUCCUACGGGAGGCAGCAGUGGGGAAUAUUGGACAAUGGGCGCAAGCCUGAUCCAGCCAUACCGCGUGGGUGAAGAAGGCCUUCGGGUUGUAAAGCCCUUUUGUUGGGAAAGAAAAGCAGUAGGUUAAUACCACGCUGUUCUGACGGUACCCAAAGAAUAAGCACCGGCUAACUUCGUG
rnacentral:rRNA from 1 species